ensembl:lncRNA
UGGGCUUAGAUGGUCAAUGUUGGUCAGGCUGGGCUUAGAUGGUCAGUGUUGACCAGGCUGGGCUUAGAUGGUCAGGCUGGUCUUAGAUGGUCAGUGUUGGUCAGGCUGGUCUUAGAUCGUCAGAGUUGGUCAGGCUGGGCUUAGAUGGUCAGGCUCGUCUUAGAUGGUCAGUGUUGUUCAGGCUGGGCUUAGAUGGUCAGGCUGGUCUUAGAUGGUCAGAGUUGGUCAGGCUGGUCUUAGAUGGUCAGUGUUGUUCAGGCUGGGCUUAGAUGGUCAGGCUGUUUUUAGAUGGUCAGUGUUGGUCAGGCUGGUCUUAGCUGGUCAUAGCUAACCAGACUUAACUGCUGAUGUUGGCUGGGUAACAUAUAGACCAGUUCAUUGUAUUUUAAAAAAAAUGCUAAAGAAUCACUGAUUGAUCUGAUUGACAGUCUGUUUGAUUAACUGAUCACAUGAUGUCUUUUAUUUUUCCUGUCACU